rnacentral:rRNA from 1 species
GUGGGGAAUAUUGGACAAUGGGCGAAAGCCUGAUCCAGCCAUGCCGCGUGUGUGAAGAAGGUCUUCGGAUUGUAAAGCACUUUAAGUUGGGAGGAAGGGCAGUAAGUUAAUACCUUGCUGUUUUGACGUUACCAACAGAAUAAGCACCGGCUAACUUCGUGCCAGCAGCCGCGGUAAUACGAAGGGUGCAAGCGUUAAUCGGAAUUACUGGGCGUAAAGCGCGCGUAGGUGGUUCAGCAAGUUGGAGGUGAAAUCCCCGGGCUCAAACUGGGAACUGCAUCCAAAGCUAAUGAGCUGGAGUACGGUAGAGGGUAGUGGAAUUUCCUGUGUAGCGGUGAAAUGCGUAGAUAUAGGAAGGAACACCAGUGGCGAAGGCGACUACCUGGACUGAUACUGACACUGAGGUGCGAAAGCGUGGGGAGCAAACAGGAUUAGAAACCCGGGUAGUCC